rnacentral:rRNA from 1 species
CCCUUAGAUGUUCUGGGCUGCACGCGUGCUACACUGAGUAAUUCAAUGGGUAAGGGAACGCUAGAGCAUUACCUAAUCUUGAAAUUUGCUCGUGAUGGGGAUCGACGGUUGCAAUUUUCCGUCGUGAACGAGGAAUACCUUGUAGGCGCAUGUCAUCAUCAUGCGCCGAAUACGUCCCUGCCCUUUGUACACACCGCCCGUCGCUCCUACCGAUUGAGUGAUCCGGUGAGGCUCUGGGACCUGGACGGAAAGAGCGUUUCGCUUGUUCUGUUUGGGAAACUUGGUCGAACCUUAUCAUUUAGAGGAAGGAGAAGUCGUAACA